GAUGAACGCUGGCGGCGUGCCUAAUACAUGCAAGUCGAGCGAACGGACGAGGAGCUUGCUCCUCUGACGUUAGCGGCGGACGGGUGAGUAACACGUGGAUAACCUACCUAUAAGACUGGGAUAACUUCGGGAAACCGGAGCUAAUACCGGAUAAUAUAUUGAACCGCAUGGUUCAAUAGUGAAAGACGGUCUUGCUGUCACUUAUAGAUGGAUCCGCGCUGCAUUAGCUAGUUGGUAAGGUAACGGCUUACCAAGGCAACGAUGCGUAGCCGACCUGAGAGGGUGAUCGGCCACACUGGAACUGAGACACGGUCCAGACUCCUACGGGAGGCAGCAGUAGGGAAUCUUCCGCAAUGGGCGAAAGCCUGACGGAGCAACGCCGCGUGAGUGAUGAAGGUCUUCGGAUCGUAAAACUCUGUUAUUAGGGAAGAACAAAUGUGUAAGUAACUGUGCACGUCUUGACGGUACCUAAUCAGAAAGCCACGGCUAACUACGUG
rnacentral:rRNA from 1 species